CCUACGGGAGGCAGCAGUGGGGAAUAUUGGGCAAUGGAGGCAACUCUGACCCAGCAACGCCGCGUGAAUGAUGAAGGUCUUCGGAUUGUAAAGUUCUGUGAUGGGGGAUGAACACAAUGACGGUACCCCAAUAGCAAGCCACGGCUAACUACGUGCCAGCAGCCGCGGUAAUACGUAGGUGGCAAGCGUUACCCGGAAGCACUGGGCGUAAGGGGUGCGUAGGUGGUUUAGUAAGUUGGCGGUGUAAUUCCGGGGCUCAACCUCGGCGCUACCGCCAAAACUAUUAGACUAGAGUGCAGGAGGGGUAAGUGGAAUGCCUAGUGUAGCGGUGGAAUGCGUAGAUAUUAGGAGGAACAUCAGUGGCGAAGGCGACUUACUGGACUGUAACUGACGCUGAGGCACGAAAGCGUGGGGAGCAAACAGGAUUAGAUACCCGUGUAGUC
rnacentral:rRNA from 1 species